UUGAAUGUGAGGGAAAAGAUACUAAUCCUAAUUGACACAUGGCAAGAAGCCUUCGGGGGACCUCAGGGGAGAUAUCCUCAAUAUUAUGCAGCAUAUAAUGAACUGAAGGCUGCUGGAGUUGAAUUCCCACCUCGAGAAGAGAGCAGAGUACCAUUCUUUACUCCACCCCAGACACAGCCAAUAAUUUCUCCUGUUACUAAAUACAAUGAUGCUGCUAUUGAGGCCUGUUUACAGUCUGAUGCUUCAGGCCUCAGGUAGCAAAUAGGAUUUCUCUAUGGCACGCGUGGUGACGUGAGGAGUUCUUUCAUCAUGGGGUGUAUGGCGUGGGGCAAUCCUAUGGACGAUAAAACGAUCAACUGGCUUCAUUGGAUUUCAAAUUGGGAGGAACUUUAUUUGUAGCAGUUUGCAAGAGGUACCUCUCUAUUAUGAUGGGAUUGGGGGCAUACGUUUGUCAUUAAAACUUUCUGACUCUAGCCAAACACCUAUAGAGAUUGGAUUGGAUCUGGAGAAAUUGUUGCAGAAGGUUAUUUUAUUUCAAGUGACCCAAAGGAUGAGGUUCACCAUGUUCCUCUUGGGCCUAGUGCUAUGAAAGUGGGGAUAGAUCUUGUGAGAAAGAAUGAUGCAUUUCUGUGGAGGCCUUCAACAGUUAUGUCUACUAUAGAAGAUGUUAUAGGUAGUAUAAUUGCAUGGCCAGCUGAUAAAGUUAUAAUUAGCUAAGCAAAUGGACUCACAACAAAGACAAGUGCACAAAGGAUGAUGAAUUGAAGGAUGGAGCAAGUUUCGUUUACUUUUGUGUAUCUUGUAAUGUUUCUAUUUUUCAUUUUUGAAGUAAAAAUUGUUCAAGAUUAUAAAACUUUAUUAUGUUAUGCUUUCAAACUUAAGUUAGAACUAAGAUCUCAUGAAGUAGACACAUUCAUGGUUUGAAUUAGUUAUUGUUUAAUGUAAUACUUAUGGUUUAUCAAUCUAUUGAGAAUUACAUUUUAUG